AGGGAUAAACGCUGAAAGCAUCUAAGUGUGAAGCCCACCUCAAGAUGAGAUUUCCCAUUUCUUUAAGAAAGUAAGAUCCCUGAGAGAAGAUCAGGUAGAUAGGUCAGGAGUGGAAGUGCAGUGAUGUGCGGAGCGGACUGAUACUAAUCGAUCGAGGACUUAACCAAAAA
rnacentral:rRNA from 1 species